rnacentral:rRNA from 1 species
GCAAGCGUUGUUCGGAAUUACUGGGCGUAAAGGGCUCGUAGGCGGCCAACUAAGUCAGACGUGAAAUCCCUCGGCUUAACCGGGGAACUGCAUCUGAUACUGGAUGGCUUGAGUUCGGGAGAGGGAUGCGGAAUUCCAGGUGUAGCGGUGAAAUGCGUAGAUAUCUGGAGGAACACCGGUGGCGAAGGCGGCAUCCUGGACCGACACUGACGCUGAGGAGCGAAAGCCAGGGGAGCAAACGGG